AUUGAACGCUGGCGGCAGGCCUAACACAUGCAAGUCGAGCGGUAGAGAGGUGCUUGCAUCUCUUGAGAGCGGCGGACGGGUGAGUAAUGCCUAGGAAUCUGCCUAGUGGUGGGGGAUAACGUUCGGAAACGGACGCUAAUACCGCAUACGUCCUACGGGAGAAAGCGGGGGAUCUUCGGACCUCGCGCCAUUAGAUGAGCCUAGGUCGGAUUAGCUAGUUGGUGAGGUAAUGGCUCACCAAGGCGACGAUCCGUAACUGGUCUGAGAGGAUGAUCAGUCACACUGGAACUGAGACACGGUCCAGACUCCUACGGGAGGCAGCAGUGGGGAAUAUUGGACAAUGGGCGAAAGCCUGAUCCAGCCAUGCCGCGUGUGUGAAGAAGGUCUUCGGAUUGUAAAGCACUUUAAGUUGGGAGGAAGGGUAGUAACCUAAUACGUUGCUACUUUGACGUUACCGACAGAAUAAGCACCGGCUAACUUCGUGCCAGCAC
rnacentral:rRNA from 1 species